GGCAUCACCCAGGUACCCCAAACCCCUCCCGGGACCCCCAACCCCUCCCGGGCUCCACUGCCGGAACCAACGGGAGCGGUGUUGCCCUUUUAAGAGGAGUUACAGUGGGACCCGACAACACCGGGGGCCCUUAAAGCGGCCAUGGUAGAGAGAACCCCCAAAAUCCACCCUGGGGGACAAAACAUCCCCUACAGGGGCUUGGGGUGGGGACACCCCUAAAAAUGUCACUUAAAGCCGUCAUGAUCCCCCCUCCAAAGGGGCUUGUGGGGCUGCGGCCGCACAAACACCCUAAAAUGGGGAGGAAAAAACACCCCUGUAGUGGUGGGAUCCCCCCCAAAAAACCUGAAAAAGAGAAAAACUCCUCUUGAGAGGGGCCUGAAGACCCUGGAAGGGCCCUGGAAGAGGGACAAGGUCCCCUCCUGUGCUGGGGCCUCCCCGAGCCGGGAACUCUCCCGUUCCUGCAGUCGGGGGAGCCCCGAACGACGGCGGCUCCUGGGCUGAGCCCCCCUCAGCCGGGGCUGCGGGGGGAACUGGGGGGGCUGGGACGGGGCUUGGGGCUCCUGGGGUGAACUGGGGGACCCUCAGUGCUCCCACCUCCCCCUGUUCCCCUGUCCCGCCCCGUUCCCAUUGUUCCCCCAAAGCUCCGCUGCCCCCAGCUCGGUUUGUGGGGGACCCAGCCCUUUCCCAUCGUGUCCCGGCCCGGCCCCGCUCACCCGAGGGCUCCGAACCACGCCCGGGGACAGAGGAGGGACAGAGGAGGAGGAAGAGGAGGAGCAGGAGGAGGAAGAGCUGGAGCAGGCAGAGGAGGCUCCACCUGCGCUCCCCGCUCUCUGCAUCUGCAGCUCCUUCGGGACCAUCGCCCCCCAUCCCGCAGCCAGAAGGAGGCGUGGGAUUCAUCCCAAUGUUCUGGAAGCUGGAAGAGGACCAAGCCAUCAGUCUUCCAAAAAACCUUGAGCAGCUCAUCCGCAAUUCCACCUUUCCCCAGUCCCUGGAUUCUCAGGUCUGGAAAUUCUUCUACGAUCUCCCAGGAUUUCCCAUUCCCAAACCUUGGCCAGAUGGAGAAGCAGGCUGUGUGGAAGAGGAAGACGUCCCAGGACACCC